rnacentral:lncRNA from 1 species
UGGGAUGAGCUUCAGGUGAACUUCAGGAUGUUUAAAGCGCUGCUUCACUUCUGAGCUGAACUGAGAGGGAUCAUGGCGGCAGUGGGAGCGGAGGUCAGCGGCCUCCUGACGUCAGGCGUCUUCGGUUUCUUCCUCCUCCUCCUCCUCCUCUCCAUCUUCCUCACGGCUCUGUGCAGUGAGUGCAGCAGACGUUCAUUUGAGCUGCGAGACUCCACGGCGGACAGAGAGCCUUCAUCGCUCAUCAGAGUGGUGAAGCUGGAGGACGCCAUGGUGGCGAGAGAGAAUCCGAUGAUCGGUGAAAUCCAAUACGAUGAAAAAGAGUUUAACCCCAGUGAAGGCAGCACAGUGUCCGUCAGUCCGUGGAGGAGCCACUUGGGGGAGCUGCAGAACCACCAGGAUGUGCACAGCCCCCCCCCUCCAGACCACAUCUACCACACCAUCGGAGGAGGAGGAGGAGGAGGAGGAGGAGGAGGACGGAGCCGCAGCGAUGCUGACCUGUCAUCAGCACCGACCAAUCAGGAGCCAGGAGAGGAGCGCUCUGCAGCGGCGGGGGAACCCAUCGACAGGAACUCGGUGUAUGCACAAGUCAGCAAGAAGGCGAGGCCGACCACCCCCCCCGCUCACACACCUGAGGAGGCGGCGGAGCAGGAAGAGUCUUCACCUCCGCUGCCCGACAGGAAGUCACAGCUGGAGGACGAGCGACAUAAAGACUAAAGAUGAAGGACAACAGAAUGAAUGACAAAAGAAUGAAACAAUAACAAGAAGAACACAUAGUAUCCAAACACACUCCGCUGAAUCAGCACGAGAAGUUAUGGAAGAGUUGCAGUGAAAUACAACAUAUUGUAAUUCACAUUUCCUUUUAUGAUGCUUUUACUUAUUUACAUGAAAAGAUGAACAAUUAUUGAGUUUUUACUGUUUUUUUUCUGUGUUGAGAUUAAUUAUGACACCAUAAAAGCAUAAAAGAGGGAACAUUUGGAAACUUUAAUAAAAUAUGUUUUACUGUAAAAAAAAUAUCUUUCUCUCAAACUCUUUCCCAGAAUGCAACAGGGAACAACAGGCGAUACAAGUGAAAAGCAUCUCUUAUGCUGUCAGACUGCACGCGUCUUCCAGCUCCCACGUCUCGUUUGUGCUCGCCAUAGUGACCGACUGGCACGACAGAGUUGAGCUAACCUCAGCACAUGUUGCUAACGGCUGAAACAGCCGUAAUGCAGACAAACAAAGGAAAUAUACUUCAUUGUUUUGUUUCAUUCAAGCGUUUUAAAUCUUCCAUACGACUCAAACAAAUAAAAAACAGAUCUGAGACUUCCUGACUUUUAGUCCUCAGUUAGAGGUUGAACUCCAGAAACACUGGAUUCUACAUUUCCCAUAAUGCAACUGGACAGUGUCUUUGAUUAGAGCCGAAACAGCCACAUCUUUCAAAC